CUAAGCUACGACAAAAGGAAAAGUAGUGUCCCCGGACCACGCACCAAAGGGAUUAUCCAUUUGCACGAGGUAUAGCUCAAUCAAUAAGUUGAAGUUCUGUCUUUCCAUUGCUUCGGAAUGCGGUAGCCUGGACUUCAAAAUAAAAAGGACUAUGCAUUCAACAAAGUAAAAUUUUAGGUCGGCUUCGAACAGAGAUCAGUCAGUAAACAACCUAGCCUUAUAAUUUCAAUAUUGAGAAAGGAUUGCAGUCCAAGAUUCCGGUCAGCUAAUCAAAGAAAGAAGCUUUCGGGCUACAAUCUCGCAAAUCUCAAUGUCAAGAAAGAGGGAAGGCCUGUCUUCUGUUCCAUGCUCUUUCGAGAGUUCGUAGAUUUGCCCAUUCUACCAUUGGAAGGCCUGCGAUUAGAACUAGUAAUGGGGGGAUGGAGUACAUGUGCUACGUGAAACUAGAGAUUUCCUUCUUUUUUAUUAAAUAGUAAAGACUUUCCUUCAUAAAGACUAGAUUCAAUGUGGUCGUAGAUCUGGGUUUUUAUUCCGGAAUGGUCGUAGAUCAGUGGAUCAGUCAAUGAAGCAUUUCCAGUCAAAGAGGGGAAUAGAUCUCAAUCGAGAGGGUGAGCUGCGGGCUCAUGCCACACAUUCACCUUGGCCAAAUGAAGAAAAGACGGGUUCUAGGGGUCCUUCUCAGGCAUGUGAUUCAGGCUCGUCAGGUGGUGGGACAUGAAAAAGUAUAGAGCAGGGAGCCCAGGAAGAGGAGCCGCAAGAGAGACAAAGGCUUUCCAGUCCUUUCCUUUGACAGCGACUUAGAAUGCCCUUGGCGAUCUUAAGGACUCACAAAGAAAGCCCCUCGGGCACCCCCUUAUUACUUAUAUAUAAGACAAAGCGUAAGUGUAGUUUACUUGCUUACUUGUUAGAGUUAAAGGCACCGAAGGUGUCGACCCUUAGCGUUUCACACUAAGCUACCUCGAGCCUUCCUCUAGUUCAAGAGUUCUAGUACUUGCGUUUCGUUCCAGUUCGAUGAUUCUUCUUCGCUUUUAAGGCUUGUUCAAUCAAUCUCAUGGGUUCCCAUGGCUCGUCCUAUAGAAAGGGGGAUACCCGGCAAGUAAAGGGAGCUUGCUUACUUAGUGCUUGCGCUAAGGUUCUGAAAGAACGUUAAAAGCAUUAUAUAGAUAUUUAAUAGAUCUUAUC
rnacentral:lncRNA from 1 species